rnacentral:rRNA from 1 species
GACGAACGCUGGCGGCGUGCUUAACACAUGCAAGUCGAACGAAGUGGCGAACGGGUGAGUAACGCGUAAUCAACCUGCCCUUCAGAGGGGGACAACAGUUGGAAACGACUGCUAAUACCGCAUACUGAAGGAGGGGAUUGCGUCUGAUUAGCUUGUUGGAGGGGUAACGGCCCACCAAGGCGAUGAUCAGUAGGCGGUCCUAGAGGAGUGACGGCCACAUUGGGACUGGAACAACGCCCCGACCUCUACGGGAGGCAGUAGUGGGGAAUUUUCCGCAAAUGACGAAAGUCUGACGGAGCAACGCCGCCUGAGGGAGUACGGCCCUCGGGUUGUAAAGCUCUGUUAAUCGGGACGCGGUACCGGAAUAGAAAGCCACGGCUAACUACGUGCCAGCAGCCGCGGUAAUAC